AUACUUACCUGGCAGAGGAGAUACCAUGAUCACGAAGGUGGCUUUCCCAGGGUGAGGCUCAUCCAUUUCACUGCGGGUGUGCUGACCCCUGCGAUUUCCCCAAAUGUGGGAAACUCGACCACACAAUUUGUGGUAGUGGGGGACUGUGUUCACGCUUUCCCCUG
ensembl:snRNA U1 U1 spliceosomal RNA